UACGUAGGGUGCGAGCGUUAAUCGGAAUUACUGGGCGUAAAGCGUGCGCAGGCGGUUCGUGAUGUCUGAUGUGAAAGCCCCGGGCUUAACCUGGGAAUUGCAUUGGAAACUAGCGGGCUGGAGUGUGGCAGAGGGGGGUGGAAUUCCACGUGUAGCAGUGAAAUGCGUAGAGAUGUGGAGGAACACCGAUGGCGAAGGCAGCCCCCUGGGCUAACACUGACGCUCAUGCACGAAAGCGUGGGGAGCAAACAGG
rnacentral:rRNA from 1 species